rnacentral:rRNA from 1 species
GACGAACGCUGGCGGCGUGCUUAACACAUGCAAGUCGAACGGAAAGGCCCUGCUUUUGUGGGGUGCUCGAGUGGCGAACGGGUGAGUAACACGUGAGUAACCUGCCCUUGACUUUGGGAUAACUUCAGGAAACUGGGGCUAAUACCGGAUAGGAGCUCCUGAUGCAUGGUGGGGGUUGGAAAGUUUCGGCGGUUGGGAUGGACUCGCGGCUUAUCAGCUUGUUGGUGGGGUAGUGGCUUACCAAGGCUUUGACGGGUAGCCGGCCUGAGAGGGUGACCGGCCACAUUGGGACUGAGAUACGGCCCAGACUCCUACGGGAGGCAGCAGUGGGGAAUAUUGCACAAUGGGCGGAAGCCUGAUGCAGCAACGCCGCGUGCGGGAUGACGGCCUUCGGGUUGUAAACCGCUUUCGCCUGUGACGAAGCGUGAGUGACGGUAAUGGGUAAAGAAGCACCGGCUAACUACGUG